rnacentral:lncRNA from 1 species
AGUAUUAGAAAAAACAAAGAACUAAAAUUUAGAAAUAGUGUUCUGCGCUUGGUGUAAGUCCAGAGGUGUCAGUCCAGUAGUCAUUUGCUUGAAGGCAAAGUUGAAACCAAGCUCUUUCAGGAAAAUAUAGGGAUCAAUGAAGACUGAGAACUAAGAGCAAGCCCUCAGGCUCAAUUUGUGUAUAGAAAGCAGAGAAACCAAUGAGAAUAAAAGGGAGUAAAAGGAGAGAUAUGGGCAUUAUUAUCACUUAAGCCAAGGGGAAAAAAGUGGAUAAAAACUGAAGAAAGUUUCUAAAGGGUCAAAGAAAUUUAGCACUGAAAGAAAUGUAUGUUGAUGGUGAAGAAUUUUUUUUUAAUCAUUGGAAUUUCAGUAGUUUUCAGAUGCAAGUAUGAAAUUGUAAUGAGUAACUGAUUGCCAAUUAUAAAAUAUUUUCUCUAAAAAUUUUGGGCAAAGGAAAUAUAAAGCCUUAAUUGCAGGAAAUAGAAUAAAUAGAAGAUAUUUUUUAAAAAUGAGGUGAUACUAAGUUCAACUUAUAUUUAAUCUGCUGAAAAUAUUUUAAGAAGAUAAAGAGUGAAAAUUUUAUAAUGAGGGGAAAAAUGAAGAAAACCACUACUAAAAACGUAUGAAUGCAAAACAACACAUACACAACAAACCUUAAAGUGCUGUCAGAAUUUUUUUUGAGUUAUAGAGAUUUAAAAAACUAUUUUAAUAACAUUUUGUUACUUUAUGAAUCAGUUUGUUGAUUCUGCUGUAAGCAAUGUUCUUUUGGUUAUUCUUUGAUAAUUGAAAAAUUUAUAGCACUAUUCAUAAAUUUUGAGAAGGAACAAAUGUAAAUCUAUUAGGAUAGAUAUUUAUUCAGCAAUAUUUUAAAUAUAAUAUUUCAUUGUACUUAUUAAUGAACACAGAAUAUUAUGAAAACUGAAAAUAAUCAUCCUAUAAGUGUUCACAUAAUGAUUUCUCUAAGAAUUACCACUCUUUUUUUUUAGUAAAUCAUGGAUGUAGAAAUUCAAGAAGAAUGUUUAUUUUGAAAGAAACCAAUUGAAUAAUGUAAUUAUUGCUUAUACCUUAUAGAACAUUAAAAACUAUUGAGAAGGGUCUUGUUUAUCCCUAAUUGUGAGGUAAAAUGAUUUCUUGUCCUUUUUUUGUGGGUAUAGUUGGAUAAUACUUUUGUUUUAAAGAUAAGAAUAUAGAUGAUUAUAUGAAAUAAAAGUAAUUUUAGAAAUUUAAAGUGCUUAUUUAUCUAAAAACUUACGAUAGAGAAAUAUAUAUUUAUAUAUUAAUCUAUAUAAUAUUUUUAAAAUAUGGAGUGAUCUGGGAAAUAGCCAAUUUUAUCAAUUGGGAUCACAUUUUGUCUGCAUGUAAUAAAAGAACAACUAAUCAAGGAUUAUAUUUUGAAUCAUAUAAUAUGUUAAAGGAUUAUAUUUUUAAUCAUAUAAUAUGUAUUUCAAGGACAGGCAGUCCUAUGUGUAGUUAAUUGUUUAAGAAAUCGUAAAGAAACAUAGCUUAGUCUAUCCUCCUCCUCUGCUAUCUUAGCUAGUGGACAUUUACUCUGAUGGGCAAGAGAUUCUUCACAUCCUGCCUGGCAUGUGGCAGAAAGAAGGGGAAGGGUGAGAUCAGAAAGCACAUAUCAGCCAAGUUUGUCACUUUGUAUCAGGGAAACAAUAAUUCCUAUGUUUUUUCUGAUAAAAUUCCACUACUGAAAGUGACUCUCAUGGCUACAACUUAAUUGAAGGGAAUUUGUUACAAUGAGUAUUUUUAAAUACAAACCUUCACUUUUAAAAAAAAACUGAUAUUCUAUUAAUGAGGAAAUAAAGGAUAAUAGAUUCUUGGAAGGCAGCUAACAAUUCCCAUCAUAUAGAGAAAUAGAAAUUUAUAAUGAUAUUUUAGGAAUGGUAAUUUAAGGUAGAAUGGUAAUUUAAGCAGUUGGUAUUCAUUCGCUUUUAUUUUCAAUGAAAAUAUCAACAUAAAGAUGCAUAUGCAUGAAGUUACAAAACAAAUAUUUAAAUGCCAACUCAUAAUUCAUUUUUUACAGUGAGAUAUUAAAUAAUAUUUUUAAAAUUUUAAAUGUUUUUAAUUUCUAAAAAAUUAGUGAAGAUCAAAAAAUAGUCUGUAUGAAAAUAUGUCAAAAGUAAGACUAUUUUUACAAAAUUACAUCUUUACAUCUAUGGAUGUAACCUGAAUUACCAAAAAGUAAAUGAAUUAUAAAUUUUAUAAAUCAAUGUAAAAGCCUUAAUCAAGAUGAUUUUUAACAAGAUUGAGUUUGAAAAAAAAAAGUAAUAUAUAAACGAUAAAUGUAAAAUUCUAUAGAACAAAACAAAGGACUUAACAGUGGUCUCAAACCAUGUAGAAUUUAACACACAAAAUACGAGAUUGCAGGGCUGGGG